rnacentral:rRNA from 1 species
ACGGAAGGCAGCAGUGGGGAAUAUUGGGCAAUGGGCGAAAGCCUGACCCAGCAACGCCGCGUGAAGGAAGAAGGUCUUCGGAUUGUAAACUUCUUUUAUGAGGGACGAAGGACGUGACGGUACCUCAUGAAUAAGCCACGGCUAACUACGUGCCAGCAGCCGCGGUAAUACGUAGGUGGCAAGCGUUAUCCGGAUUUACUGGGUGUAAAGGGCGCGUAGGCGGGGAUGCAAGUCAGAUGUGAAAUCUAUGGGCUUAACUCAUAAACUGCAUUUGAAACUGUAUUUCUUGAGUGCUGGAGAGGUAGAUGGAAUUCCUUGUGUAGCGGUGAAAUGCGUAGAUAUCAGGAAGAACACCGGUGGCGAAGGCGGCCUGCUGGACGGUAACUGACGUUGAGGCUCGAAAGCGUGGGGAGCAAACAGGAUUAGAUACCCUGGUA